GACAGAGGGUGCAAACGUUGUUCGGAAUUACUGGGCGUAAAGCGCGUGUAGGCGGCCCUGCAAGUCGGAUGUGAAAUCCCACGGCUCAACCGUGGAAGUGCAUUCGAAACUGCAGGGCUAGAGUCCUGGAGAGGAAGGUGGAAUGCUUGGUGUAGAGGUGAAAUUCGUAGAUAUCAAGCGGAACACCGGUGGCGAAGGCGGCCUUCUGGACAGUGACUGACGCUGAGACGGCGAAAAGCGUGGGGAGCAAACAGGG
rnacentral:rRNA from 1 species